rnacentral:rRNA from 1 species
GAUCCAGCCAUGCCGCGUGUGUGAAGAAGGCCCUCGGGUUGUAAAGCACUUUCAGCGAGGAAGAACGCCUAGCGGUUAAUACCCGCUAGGAAAGACAUCACUCGCAGAAGAAGCACCGGCUAACUCCGUGCCAGCAGCCGCGGUAAUACGGAGGGUGCAAGCGUUAAUCGGAAUUACUGGGCGUAAAGCGCGCGUAGGUGGCUUGAUAAGCCGGUUGUGAAAGCCCCGGGCUCAACCUGGGAACGGCAUCCGGAACUGUCAAGCUAGAGUGCAGGAGAGGAAGGUAGAAUUCCCGGUGUAGCGGUGAAAUGCGUAGAGAUCGGGAGGAAUACCAGUGGCGAAGGCGGCCUUCUGGACUGACACUGACACUGAGGUGCGAAAGCGUGGGUAGCAAACAGGAUUAGAUACCCUGGUAGUCCACGCCGUAAACGAUGUCGACCAGCCGUUGGGUGCCUAGCGCACUUUGUGGCGAAGUUAACGCGAUAAGUCGACCGCCUGGGGAGUACGGCCGCAAGGUUAAAACUCAAAUGAAUUGACGGGGGCCCGCACAAGCGGUGGAGCAUGUGGUUUAAUUCGAUGCAACGCGAAGAACCUUACCUACUCUUGACAUCCUGCGAAUUUGGUAGAGAUACCUUAGUGCCUUCGGGAACGCAGAGACAGGUGCUGCAUGGCUGUCGUCAGCUCGUGUUGUGAAAUGUUGGGUUAAGUCCCGUAACGAGCGCAACCCUUGUCCUUAUUU